UACGGAGGGUGCAAGCGUUAUCCGGAUUUAUUGGGUUUAAAGGGUCCGUAGGCGGACCGUUAAGUCAGUGGUGAAAGUCCACAGCUCAACUGUGGAAUUGCCAUUGAUACUGGCGGUCUUGAGUACAUGUGAAGUUGGCGGAAUGUGUGGUGUAGCGGUGAAAUGCUUAGAUAUCACACAGAACACCGAUUGCGAAGGCAGCUGGCUAACAUGUAACUGACGCUGAGGGACGAAAGUGUGGGGAUCAAACAGG
rnacentral:rRNA from 1 species